GAUGAACGCUGGCGGCGUGCCUAAUACAUGCAAGUCGAGCGAACAGACGAGGAGCUUGCUCCUCUGACGUUAGCGGCGGACGGGUGAGUAACACGUGGAUAACCUACCUAUAAGACUGGGAUAACUUCGGGAAACCGGAGCUAAUCCCGGAUAAUAUAUUGAACCGCAUGGUUCAAUAGUGGAAGACGGUUUUGCUGUCACUUAUAGAUGGAUCUGCGCCGCAUUAGCUAGUUGGUAAGGUAACGGCUUACCAAGGCGACGAUGCGUAGCCGACCUGAGAGGGUGAUCGGCCACACGAGAACUGAGACACGGUCCAGACUCCUACGGGAGGCAGCAGUAGGGAAUCUUCCGCAGUGGGCGAAAGCCUGACGGAGCAACGCCGCGUGAGUGAUGAAGGUCUUCGGAUCGUAAAACUCUGUUAUUAGGGAAGAACAAAUGUGUAAGUAACUAUGCACGUCUUGACGGUACCUAAUCAGAAAGCCACGGCUAACUACGUG
rnacentral:rRNA from 1 species